GGCUUCCAUGGAUGUCGACAGAGUUUGAUCCUGGCUCAGAGCGAACGCUGGCGGCAGGCUUAACACAUGCAAGUCGAACGGGCGUAGCAAUACGUCAGUGGCAGACGGGUGAGUAACGCGUGGGAACGUACCUUUUGGUUCGGAACAACACAGGGAAACUUGUGCUAAUACCGGAUAAGCCUUACGGGGAAAGAUUUAUCGCCGAAAGAUCGGCCCGCGUCUGAUUAGCUAGUUGGUGAGGUAACGGCUCACCAAGGCGACGAUCAGUAGCUGGUCUGAGAGGAUGAUCAGCCACAUUGGGACUGAGACACGGCCCAAACUCCUACGGGAGGCAGCAGUGGGGAAUAUUGGACAAUGGGGGCAAGCCCGAUCCAGCCAUGCCGCGUGAGUGAUGAAGGCCCUAGGGUUGUAAAGCUCUUUUGUGCGGGAAGAUAAUGACGGUACCCC
rnacentral:rRNA from 1 species